UACAGAGGGGGCAAGCGUUAUUCGGAAUUAUUGGGCGUAAAGGGCGCGUAGGCGGCUUUGCAAGUGGCGGGUGAAAUCCCUCGGCUUAACCGAGGAACUGCCUGUCAAACUGCAUGGCUUGAGACCAGGAGAGGUGAGUGGAAUUCCCGGUGUAGCGGUGAAAUGCGUAGAUAUUGGGAGGAACACCAGUGGCGAAGGCGGCUCACUGGACUGGUACUGACGCUGAUGCGCGAAAGCGUGGGGAGCAAACAGG
rnacentral:rRNA from 1 species